GAUGAACGCUGGCGGCGUGCCUAAUACAUGCAAGUCGAGCGAACAGACGAGGAGCUUGCUCCUCUGACGUUAGCGGCGGACGGGUGAGUAACACGUGGAUAACCUACCUAUAAGACUGGGAUAACUUCGGGAAACCGGAGCUAAUACCGGAUAAUAUAUUGAACCGCAUGGUUCAAUAGUGAAAGACGGUUUUGCUGUCACUUAUAGAUGGAUCCGCGCCGCAUUAGCUAGUUGGUAAGGUAACGGCUUACCAAGGCAACGAUGCGUAGCCGACCUGAGAGGGUGAUCGGCCACACUGGAACUAGAACACGGUCCAGACUCCUACGGGAGGCAGCAGUAGGGAAUCUUCCGCAAUGGGCGAAAGCUUGACGGAGCAACGCCGCGUGAGUGAUGAAGGUCUUCGGAUCGUAAAACUCUGUUAUUAGGGAAGAACAAAUGUGUAAGUAACUAUGCACGUCUUGACGGUACCUAAUCAGAAAGCCACGGCUAACUACGUG
rnacentral:rRNA from 1 species